rnacentral:lncRNA from 1 species
UAUGCACAGGGUUAGUCUAAAAGCAUUAUCUACUUUUUUCCUCUUUAGAGGUGAACGAGCAUUUUUCUGGUAAGUUUUCUAGAGCAGGAGUGUGAUGGAAUGGUUUCAAACUGCUUAGGAAAUGGUCUAAGUAAAACGUAAACAAUACUUGACAGAAUGGUUUUUGAACAUUAAGAGUAGGUAUGGGAGCCCCAAGCGGUUUUGUUAUUUAUGAGAUGGUUUUUUAGAAUUAAUUAUGAACAGAAGCUUAAUUUUUGCCAACCCAGCUUAAUAUUUCGUCUCUUCUUUUGACUUACUAAAAUCGUUAUGAUCAUCUCUUGGGGGCAGAAGGGGAGGUUUUGGUUCCAUUUGUUUCUCCUUCACUGGACUGGAUGACCCAAAGUUCUACUGUGUUUGCUAUUAGUCUGAAAAAGAUCAUGUUACUGCUUUUCCUAGUCAGAUAUUAUAGGAAAGGUGACCUAAGCUGGGUUAUACAGGUUGCUCUCAAACUAAUUGACUGACUUUUGUGUACUUACUUAAUGGUCGUUUUAUCUGAACAGU